GGAACGGAAGUCGCGCGUGCGCCGGCAGCUGUUUGGGUCAGGCCGGGAGCUUUCGCUGCGCGCUGGGCGCUCCAGUUGCGGGAGACUUUGAGCUGUUUUAGCGCCAUGCAUCAUUUACAGUGUAUCCUCCAAGCACAGAGGUGUCUGGGGUGGGGGCCCUUGGCCUCUGUGUCCUGGCUGCUGCUCCGGACCUGCAGGGCACACAGCAGUUUCUCCGGCACCGCAUGUCCCAGUCCAGAGGGGCAGCAGGAGGAUGGAGUUGGGAAGGAUUUCAGCUCCAGGCUGGCUACUGGACCAACUUUUCAGCAUUUUUUAAGAAGUGCUUCAGUUCCUCAAGAGAAGCUGGCUUCUUCAGAUGUGGUGGACCCACCCCCAUAUCUCACAGUGGAUGAACUUUUAGGAAGGCAGAGAAAAGUCUACCUUGAGACCUAUGGCUGCCAGAUGAAUGUGAAUGACACAGAGAUAGCCUGGUCCAUCUUACAGAAGAGUGGCUACCUGCGGACCAGUAAUCUCCAAGAGGCUGAUGUGAUCCUCCUUGUCACCUGCUCUAUCAGGGAGAAGGCUGAACAAACCAUCUGGAAUCGUCUACAUCAGCUUAAAGCCCUGAAGACAAAACGGCUCCGUUCCCGAGUGCCUCUGAAGAUUGGGAUUCUAGGUUGCAUGGCUGAGAGACUGAAGGAGGAGAUCCUCAAUAGGGAGAAAAUGGUGGAUAUUUUGGCUGGUCCAGAUGCCUAUCGGGACCUUCCUCGGCUGCUGACUGUUGCUGAGUCAGGCCAGCAAGCUGCCAAUGUGCUGCUUUCUCUGGAUGAGACCUAUGCUGAUGUCAUGCCAGUCCAGACGAGCCCCAGUGCUACUUCUGCUUUUGUGUCUAUCAUGAGAGGCUGUGACAACAUGUGCAGCUACUGCAUUGUUCCUUUCACGCGAGGCCGGGAGAGGAGUCGGCCUGUUGCCUCCAUUCUAGAGGAAGUGAGAAAGCUUUCCGAGCAGGGGCUGAAAGAAGUGACACUACUUGGUCAGAAUGUUAAUAGUUAUCGGGACAAUUCAGAGGUCCAGUUCAACAAUGCAGUGUCCACCAACCUCAGCCGUGGCUUCUCCACCAACUAUAAAACCAAGCAAGGGGGCCUUCGUUUUGCUCACCUUCUGGAUCAGGUCUCCAGAAUAGAUCCUGAAAUGAGGAUUCGUUUUACCUCUCCCCACCCCAAGGAUUUUCCUGAUGAGGUUCUGCAGCUGAUUCAUGAGAGAGACAACAUCUGUAAACAGAUCCACCUACCAGCCCAGAGUGGAAGUAGCCGUGUAUUGGAAGCCAUGCGAAGGGGGUAUUCAAGAGAAGCUUAUGUGGAGUUAAUUCAUCAUAUCAGGGAGUCUAUUCCAGGUGUGAGCCUCAGCAGUGAUUUCAUUGCUGGCUUUUGUGGUGAGACAGAGGAAGAUCACCUCCAGACAGUGUCUUUGCUUCGGGAAGUUCAGUACAACAUGGGCUUCCUCUUUGCCUACAGCAUGAGACAGAAGACACGGGCAUAUCACAGGCUGAAGGAUGAUGUCCUGGAAGAGGUAAAAUUAAGGCGUUUGGAGGAACUUAUCACUGUCUUCCGAGAAGAAGCAACGAAAGCCAACAAGACCUCUGUGGGUUGUACCCAGCUGGUGCUGGUGGAGGGGCUCAGUAAACGCUCUGCCACUGAGCUGUGCGGCCGGAAUGAUGGAAACCUUAAGGUGAUAUUCCCUGAUGUAGAGAUGGAGGAUGCCACUGACUCUGGGCUCAGGGUCAGAGCUCAGCCUGGGGACUAUGUGCUGGUGAAGAUUACCUCCGCCAGCUCUCAGACACUUCGAGGACAUGUGCUCUGCAGGACCACUCUGAAGGACGCCUCAGCCUAUUGCUCACCUGAGUGAUGACUUCAGAGUUGAUGUGGGCCGUCCUUCCUACCAGGAAGGGAGAUAUGACUGGUCACUAAUGAAAGAAGUAAUGAAGCAUUGAAGACAAGCUGCAAGUGGUGAAGCAACUUUGUUAAAUGGAAAAAUGCAUCUCGUUGCUGCUAUAUGAACAGCCGUUAUAAUCAUUAAAUGUACCUAAACUAAAGUGGUCCCUCUGUCUCUCUACAUGAUUAUCAUUUCUUCAUUGGAAUUAGAGACUGAAGGAGAGGCCAAGGUGGAGAGAAUCAUUUGCUUGGGAAAACUGCUCUAGAUCUUUCUAACAUUUUGGUUUGAUGACAUUGACUCACCUGCUUAUCUCCUCAUUUUAUUCUCAUAUUUUACCUGAGGAUUUCCCUCUGGGCCUCGUUUUUAGCCGUCAAUUCAUUCCUUGCCUUCAGGGCUGACAGCACUUGGAGUUUUGGAAGACAUCAGUAUCUAUUAGUAGGUUUUGGACACUCAUUCUUGGCCCAUUCACUACUAAGGUUAUGCCAUUUUCUGAGUAGCAUGUAUUCUGAAGCUCUGUUAAUAGGAGAAUAAACAUUUAGAAUUUU